CUGCUGCCUUCCGUAGGAGUUUGGGCCGUGUCUCAGUCCCAAUGUGGCCGUCCACCCUCUCAGGCCGGCUACUGAUCGCUGCCUUGGUGGGCCGUUACCCCGCCAACUAGCUAAUCAGACGCGGAUCCAUCGUAUACCACCGGAAUUUUUCACACUGCCCCAUGCGGAGCCGUGCGCUUAUGCGGUAUUAGCACCUAUUUCUAAGUGUUAUCCCCCGGUAUACGGCAGGUUAUCCACGCGUUACUCACCCGUCCGCAA
rnacentral:rRNA from 1 species